UGGGGAAUUUUGGACAAUGGGCGAAAGCCUGAUCCAGCAAUGCCGCGUGUGUGAAGAAGGCCUUCGGGUUGUAAAGCACUUUUGUCCGGAAAGAAAUCCUCUGGGUUAAUACCUCGGGGGGAUGACGGUACCGGAAGAAUAAGCACCGGCUAACUACGUGCCAGCAGCCGCGGUAAUACGUAGGGUGCAAGCGUUAAUCGGAAUUACUGGGCGUAAAGCGUGCGCAGGCGGUUUUGUAAGACGGAUGUGAAAUCCCCGGGCUUAACCUGGGAACUGCAUUCGUGACUGCAAGGCUAGAGUAUGGCAGAGGGGGGUAGAAUUCCACGUGUAGCAGUGAAAUGCGUAGAGAUGUGGAGGAAUACCGAUGGCGAAGGCAGCCCCCUGGGCCAAUACUGACGCUCAUGCACGAAAGCGUGGGGAGCAAACAGGAUUAGAUACCCUGGUAGUCCACGCCCUAAACGAUGUCAACUAGUUGUUGGGGAUUCAUUUCCUUAGUAACGUAGCUAACGCGUGAAGUUGACCGCCUGGGGGAGUACGGUCGCAAGAUUAAAACUUAAAUGAAUUGACGGGGUCAUAGCUGUUUCCU
rnacentral:rRNA from 1 species